UUAUACAGCGAAACUGCGAAUGGCUCAUUAUAUAAGUUAUCGUUUAUUUGAUAGUACCUUACUACUUGGAUAACCGUGGUAAUUCUAGAGCUAAUACAUGCUAAAAAUCCCGACUUACGAAGGGAUGUAUUUAUUAGAUUAAAAACCAAUGCCCUUCGGGGCUCACUGGUGAUUCAUAAUAACUUCUCGAAUCGCAUGGCCUUGCGCCGGCGAUGGUUCAUUCAAAUUUCUUCCCUAUCAACUUUCGAUGCUAGAGUAGUGUUCUAGCAUGGUUACAACGGGUAACGGAGGGUUAGGGCUCGACCCCGGAGAAGGAGCCUGAGAAACGGCUACUACAUCCAAGGAAGGCAGCAGGCGCGCAAAUUACCCAAUCCCGACACGGGGAGGUAGUGACGAUAAAUACUGAUACAGGGCUCUUUUGGGUCUUGUAAUUGGAAUGAGUACAAUUUAAAUCCCUUAACGAGGAACAAUUGGAGGGCAAGUCUGGUGCCAGCAGCCGCGGUAAUUCCAGCUCCAAUAGCGUAUAUUAAAGUUGUUGUGGUUAAAAAGCUCGUAGUAGAACCUUGGGCCUGGCUGGCCGGUCCGCCUCACCGCGUGCACUGGUCCGGCCGGGCCUUUCCCCCUGUGGAACCUCAUGCCCUUCACUGGGUGUGUGGGAAAACAGGACUUUUACUUUGAAAAAAUUAGAGUGCUCCAGGCAGGCCUAUGCUCGAAUACAUUAGCAUGGAAUAAUAGAAUAGGACGUGUGGUUCUAUUUUUGUUGGUUUCUAGGACCGCCGUAAUGAUUAAUAGGGACAGUCGGGGGCAUCAGUAUUCAAUUGUCAGAGGUGAAAUUCUUGGAUUUAUUGAAGACUAACUACUGCGAAAGCAUUUGCCAAGGAUGUUUUCAUUUAUCAGGAACGAAAGUUAGGGGAUCGAAGACGAUCAGAUACCGUCGUAGUCUUAACCAUAAACUAUGCCGACUAGGGAUCGGACGAUGUUAUUUUUUGACUCGUUCGGCACCUUACGAGAAAUCAAAGUGC
rnacentral:rRNA from 1 species